rnacentral:rRNA from 1 species
CCUACGGGUGGCAGCAGUCGAGAAUCAUUCACAAUGGGGGAAACCCUGAUGGUGCGACGCCGCGUGGGGGAAUGAAGGUCUUCGGAUUGUAAACCCCUGUCAUGUGGGAGCAAAUUAAAAAGAUAGUACCACAAGAGGAAGAGACGGCUAACUCUGUGCCAGCAGCCGCGGUAAUACCGAGGUCUCAAGCGUUGUUCGGAAUCACUGGGCGUAAGGCGUGCGUAGGCUGUUUCGUAAGUCGUGUGUGAAAGGCGCGGGCUCAACCCGCGGACGGCACAUGAUACUGCGAGACUAGAGUAAUGGAGGGGGAACCGGAAUUCUCGGUGUAGCAGUGAAAUGCGUAGAUAUCGAGAGGAACACUCGUGGCGAAGGCGGGUUCCUGGACAUUAACUGACGCUGAGGCACGAAGGCCAGGGGAGCGAAAGGGAUUAGAUACCCCAGUAGUC